rnacentral:tRNA from 1 species
GAGGGUAUAGCUCAAGUGGUAGAGUGCAUGCCUUGGCAUGCACAAGGUCCUGAGUUCAAUCCCCAGUACCUCCU